GGAACCCUGGAAGUGGUUGGAUGGAAGUAACUCCUCAUUUAGGUACUGGAAAGAGACGGAACCGACUAAUGGUGAUAUACCAGAGCAGUGUGUGGCAGCAGACUUCUCUAAACUUGGAAAAUGGGAAGACUGGCCAUGUAAAGAAAGAUUUGCCUUUGUUUGCUACAGUCCAGAAACAGUUACAAAGAAAGUGAUAAGACUGAAACUGAAGACGAACUCCUCUGUGGAUCUGAAUGACCCUGCUGUGGCGGAUAAAAUCUUGGCGCAGUUCAAACAGAAGCUGAAGGACCAGGGGGUGGAUGUAGAUAAGGUCAAACUGAGCUGGAAGAAGCAGCCAGAUGGAAAGGUCUUCUUCAAGCAGGACCAGAAGCAGAGAAAGAAGAGGAGCACCAUGAGAAAAAAGCUGGAGCUUUAAAGUUUAAUUGCUGUGUCUGUUUUCAUCAGGUUUGAUCCUCACAGUGCUUGUGUAAUGGCUCACAAUAGAUCUGCAGCAAUGAAUUAAGUUAUGAAAAAUAGCACAUAUUAUCUGCUUCCAGCUUCUUAAAUGUGAGGAUGUGAUGCUUUCUUUUGCCUUAUGGGGUCAUUCAUUUUUAAACUGUUGGUCAAUUACAACAAGUCGUUUGAAUUUAUGUUCUUGGGGUGGUGGAACUUCUACCAGACAUUUUCACUGUUUUCUUACUUAAAUAAGUAUGU